rnacentral:rRNA from 1 species
UACGAAGGGGGCUAGCGUUGCUCGGAAUGACUGGGCGUAAAGGGCGCGUAGGCGGCCAACUAAGUCAGACGUGAAAUCCCUCGGCUUAACCGGGGAACUGCAUCUGAUACUGGAUGGCUUGAGUUCGGGAGAGGGAUGCGGAAUUCCAGGUGUAGCGGUGAAAUGCGUAGAUAUCUGGAGGAACACCGGUGGCGAAGGCGGCAUCCUGGACCGACACUGACGCUGAGGAGCGAAAGCCAGGGGAGCAAACGGG